UUGAAUGCUUUUCUUGUUUUUGUGAAAAUGUUGCCUGCUGAAUGCUAGGCUUAAUGCUAUGCUAGCUAUGAAUACUCUUACACAAAUGCUUGUUUUGCUAUGGUUGAAAAGCAUAUUUUUAAAAUCUCAGAUGACAGUGUUGUUAACAAAAGGCUAAGCUUGAGAGCCAAUAUAUUUAUUUCAUUUCAUUUGCGAUUUUCAUGAAUAGUUAACGUUGCGUUAUGGUAAUGAGCUUGAGACUAUAAUUACAAUCCCGGAUACGGGAUUGCUCGUCGCAACAGGUUAACGGACCGCCAGCCAACUUCCAUAACAUCAGGGACUCAUCGGUGCAUAGGUCCUUGUAUGGCACAAGGACCCGACCAAAUGCUGAUGUCAGGCUGGUAAGAACAUUUCUUAUUUGAUGUAAUGGGUCAUUUAGGUUGGCAGCAGCAUUGUGGACGAAAUGCAGACAACGCUGCCGAAUUAGGAAGUGGUCUUGAGAAAAGAAGGUGACUAAGAAAGGAGUUGCAAACAUGGGAUCUGUGCUCCAGUAUUCUCUCAGGGAAUUCUUAUUUUCUCGUCCCAUGGGAAUGACUGUUUAUCUUCUCCUGUAGCUCCAAGGCGUAGAGAUUGGUCUCCUUUACUAUCUCUCCCACCAGUUCCUUUGUCAGAAACAGCUUGAAGCACACUUUCUCAGAGGGAAAUAGCAAGGAGCUUUGCACUGCAGACUGAGAGUCAUCAAAGCAAAUAGCAGGACCAGGAGGGAUGACAUGGUUGGCGGCCUUCUAGCUCCCACAGACCACCUGUACUUCAUCCACUAUCAGUCUGUGUUAAUAAAUCACUAGCAGAAAAUAUUUUGUGUUUUAACCUCUUCAACCUAUGGGGGCGCUAUGUAAUUAUUGGAUAAAAAGACGUGCCCGUUUUAAGCGCAAUAUUUUGUCACGAAUUGACAGCCUUGGAAAGACAAAACUCUGACGUUUCCAAAACUGCAAAGAUAUUAUCUGUGAGUGCCCCAGAACUAAUGCUACAGGCGAAACCAAGAUGAAACUUCAAACAGGAAAUGAACAGGAUUUUUGACGCUGUGUUUACUAACGUCUCCUUAUAUGGCUGUGAAUAUGCUGUGAACGAGCUUAUGCGCUCUGCCGUUCAUCCAAGAUGUCUGCAGCAUUGUAGCGUAUUUGUAGGCAUAUCAUUGGAAGAUUGGCCAUAAGAGACUACAUUUGCCAGGGGGCCGUCCAGUGUCCUUUGUCUAAAUCGGUGCGUAAUUCCCAGUGGCAACCAUUGUACCUUGCGUUACAGAAGGAGAAGGAUACUUCCAGGAACGAUACAUCAUUGAAGAGAUAUGUGAAAAACACCUUGAGGAUUGGUUCUAAACAAUGUUUGCCAUGUUUCAGUCGAUAUUAUGGAGUUAAUUUGGAAAAAAGUUCGGCGUUUGGAUAACUGAAUUUUCGUUUUUUUUUGGUAGCCAAACGUGACGCACAAAACGGACCGAUUUCUCCUGCACAAAAAAUCUUUCAGGAAAAACUGAACAUUUGCUAUCUAACUGAGUCUCCUCAUUGAAAACAUCCGAAGUUCUUCAAAGGUAAAUGAUUUAUUGAAUGUUUUUGCUGGUUUUUGUGAAAAUGUGGCCUGCUAAUGCUAACGCUAAAUGCUAACGCUAAAUGCUAAUGCUCAAUGCUAACGCUAAAUGCUAAAUGCUAGUUUGCUAUGGUAGAGAAGCAUAUUUUUGAAAAUCUGAGAUGACAGUGUUGUUAACAAAAGGCUAAGCUUGAGAGUUAGCAUAUUAAUUUCAUUUCAUUUGCGAUUUUCAUGAAUAGUUAACGUUGCGUUAUGAUAUUGAGCUUGAGGCUAUGAUUACGCUACCGGAUCCGGCAUGGCUUGACGCAAGAAGUUAAUUAUUUAUUUAUUUACCGUUUUACUCACAUUUUCAAGUACUGGUGACAAAUCAUGCAUUCACAUUCUUGCAUAGAUUGUAAUGGACACAUAUUAUUUGUGUAAAAUACUUUUUUGAAGGUUGUAGUGAUUAUAAUGAGCUAAGCUAAUGUGUGGAGCCAUGUUUGUUGACAAGCAAUGCAUUCUGGGUUUCAUGUAAAUGUCUAUCGGACCAAAGAUGUAACAAAAUAAGAUGAGGGAGGGUUCACAAAUAUUUCGAGUAAACCUCCGGAAGUGAAUGAUGGGAUGUGAACGAUGGUAGACAACACUCCCCCUUCAACAUGCAUACUGUAACCAGACCAAACUCAUCUUGUCUCCUCACAAGAAUUCCUCUACACCCGCAAUAACAUCUGCAAAACACAUGUAUGUGACCAAUAAAAUUUGAUUUGAUAUCUAUGGUUGACCUUGAAAAAACAAACAUGUCGGCGUGCACAAACUACCUAUCGUCAGAUUAAUUUCAAUUUCUAGAAAGGGUUUUACUGAAUUAUUUAGAUCAAUGGUGAUGUGAUUAAUUAUAAAGUAAUUGCUAUUAGCUAAUUCAUAUUGUAGUUCCUGUCAGCCGAGAGUAAUCUAAAUAUGACUGCUUGUGUUGCAUCAAUUUUUCCUCAGUUAGCGCUAAGAUAAAUGUAGCCUACAUUUUUCAGUGUGGCCAGGUCAAAUGCUAACUUCUGCAUCAAUCGAAACUGGCCGUUCCAAAUAAGUGUUCUAAUCACACCGGUUUGAGCGUACCCUGGCGGUCCUCAUGAGAGCUAGUUUCAUUAUAGAGCUUGAUAGUUUUUGCGACAGCACUUCAAGAAACUUUCAAAGUUCUUGAAAUAUUCUGCAUUGACUGACCUUCAUGUCUUAAAGUAAUGAUGGACUGUCAUUUCUUUUUGCUUAUUUGAGCUGUUCUUGUCAUAAUAUGGACUUGGUCUUUUACCAAAUAGGGCUAUCAAAUCAAAUCAAAUGUAUUUAUAUAGCCCUCCGUACAUCAGUUGAUAUCUCAAAGUGCUGUACAGAAACCCAGCCUAAAACCCCAAACAGCAAGCAAUGCAGGUGUAGAAGCACGGUGGCGAGGAAAAACUCCCUAGAAAGGCCAAAACCUAGGAAGAAACCUAGAGAGGAACCAGGCUAUGUGGGGUGGCCAGUCCUCUUCUGGCUAUCUUUUGUAACCGGUGUGAAAUGGCUAGCUAGUUAGCAGGGUGCGCGCUAAUAGCGUUUAAAUCAGUGAGAUCACUCACUCUGAGACCUUGAAGUAGUUGUUCCCCUUGUAAGCGAUUCAUUUUAUUGCUUCUCUGACUUUCGUGACCAAUCUACUUUGCUGCUAGCUGUUUGUAAUAUGUUGUCUGCUGAGUGAGAUGUCCUUACAUAAACGCUUGGUUUGCUUUAGCCGUAAAGCUUUUUUGAAAUUUGACACACCAGGUGGAUUAACAACAAGCUAAGCUGUGUUUUGCUAUAUUGCACUUGUGAUUUCAUGAAAAUUAAAUAUUUGUUGUAAUUUAAUUUGAAUUUGGCGCUCUGCAAUUCAGUGGAUGUUGGCGAAAAUGAUCCCGCUAACGGGAUGGGUGCGCCAAGAAGAUAACAUACCGGUACAUACUGCUGUAAUGAUAUGCUAUGUGGUUCGUAAGGACAGCGUAGCUAACAAAUUGUUAGCCAACAUAACUUGUUAGGUAACUUAUUUGAAAAGUCAUUAAUUUAUUACAUUUAGUAGCAAGCUACCCUUGGUCGUUAGGGCAAAUCUGGUCUGUGAUAGGUUUUUAUUUCACACCUAGCUCGGCUAUUAGACUCUUCUUUAGUAAAGGUUGAAUAGUUUAUUGUUCAGCUAUUAGCCCCUCUCCACAACUUGCAACAAAUUGCUGUUCCCAUCACAUUCCUUUCCCUCUUCCACGGGUCAUCAUUCUGCUCCUGAGUGGUUCGCUUGUGGGUGUGCUGGCAGGAUAUGGCAGCAUCUUCGGUUGUGCAUGAAGAAUUCUGCAUACAGUAGCACGUUUGUAUGAAGGUCUGGUUAUUCACCGGCAAAUUGUUAUAUGCUAUGGAGGUACAUUUGUGUCUUUUUGUCGAGAGCAAAACCUUUUUAUUUUCAAUCAAAAAUAAUUGUUCUGAAAGCAACUUUUUUUCAACACAAAGGAAGUCAAAGUGGACACCUACGAAGAUGGCAUCUCAGAGAGCGAGCUGAUCAAGGAGUCGAAAAUGUAGACAUUGCCAGAUGUUCACUGUCCGAGGAACAGGCCGUGGAAUCUUUAUUUCUGGCAAAGGUGACCAUAACCUGGGGUUAUAUCAGCUGUUUUGGUGAACCACUCCCGCAUCUGAGCUGGCGGACACAGAGGGUCAACGGGAAGUAUUAUUAAAGACAUGCUUUACAUUGAAAUACAUACAGAGAUGUAGUAGUUCCAGAGUUAAUGAUCCAAGGUCAGUUUUACAUUUCACCCCCUGAUUAUGUUGACUGACCGUGUUAUAUGCAGGCAUGUUUUGAUGUGAGAGAGGAAGCCAGUGCCGUCAUCGCCACCUCACCUGCUCUUAAGAUAACCUUCGGGCCAACUGGGGGCCCAAGGCUGGUUAGGAGACACCGCAAUUGUGGUGAACUGAAAGAAUAUUAGGGUAGCACUGUAAUUCAUGAAUGAUAUGCUGUCUGCCGCUGUUCUUAUCUCUUUCCAUUUCUGUCUUCCACACCUCGUGUUUCUUCCUCAUUUUAUAAUGCACACCAUAUGUGCAUUGAAGUACAGAUUGAACUUGUAUUUAUAAUAUAAUAUUACAAUUGCCAUAAUUAUAAUGCAUUUAUGUAUUUAGAACACCUGGAUAAUGAACUUCUUUCAAUAAAGCGUUUCACAUUCUCCACUGGUUGAAAUUAAGUUUCUCAUUCAAAUACUAUCCUGUGUCCUCAGAUUAAUUCAGAUGAAGGGAGUUAGAUAUGCAGUUUUUCUUCUGUAUAUAUGAAUUACAAAUCAAUCAUGUUUCUAGUCUAUUGCUUAGUUUCAUUGUGUUUUCAUUGAUGUCCCAGGAGCAGGAGUGGUAAACACUGUUGAAGUGUAUAAUUCAAAUAAUGGAGUUUGAUAUGACUGAAAAAUAAUGUCUCAGAGAUUCAUACCUGAACCGCACCUUUAUUUGCCAAGGAAGAGUACAUGAUCAGUGAAUAUAUUAAAUGUACAGGCUACAAUGUGGGAAUCUCAUGUGUGGUAAUAACUACAGUACAUGUAUAUUGGACUUGCAUCCUUGGACAAUAAAGUUAUUAUAUUCUA